AGAGGAGAAGAGGGGAGGGGAGUGAGGGAGGGGAGUGGAGUGAGUGAGGGAGGGAACUGACGCCGGAGCUUCGAAACUUCUCAAUCCGCGCAAAUUGAUUUAACCUGGAGAUGUUGUAUUGCCUAGUCCUGGCUCUGCUGGCAUCUGAAGAUCCUGGAAGAUAUGGCAUCACCAGGAUCCAUCCUUAAUUCUCUAUGAUGCCCAUGGAUGUGCAAAAUGUUUUUGUUCACUAACCUUUUAGGUAGGUAAAAUUCUUUCCUACUUUUCUUUUUACAAAAUAUAACAUUUUGUAAAGCUGUGCUAUUGCAAUUUUAAAGUUCAGUGCCUUCAAGGACAUAGCUUACAUACCUGCAUGAGAGAGAUGA